rnacentral:rRNA from 1 species
AAUAUUGGACAAUGGGCGCAAGCCUGACCCAGCCAUGCCGCGUGAGUGAUGAAGGCCCUAGGGUUGUAAAGCUCUUUCAACGGCGAAGAUAAUGACGGUAACCGACGAAGAAGCCCCGCCUAACUUCGCGCCAUCAGCCGCGGUAAUACGAAGGAGGCUAGCGUUGUUCGGAAUUACUGGGCGUAAAGCGCACGUAGGCGGAUUGGUCAGUUAGGGGUGAAAUCCCAGGGCUCAAACCUGGAACUGCCUUUAAUACUGCCGGUCUAGAGUUCGAGAGAGGUGAGUGGAAUUCCGAGUGUAGAGGUGAAAUUCGUAGAUAUUCGGAGGAACACCAGUGGCGAAGGCGGCUCACUGGCUCGAUACUGACGCUGAGGUGCGAAAGCGUGGGGAGCAAACAG